rnacentral:rRNA from 1 species
AUUGAACGCUGGCGGCAGGCCUAACACAUGCAAGUCGAGCGAGCGGCGGACGGGUGAGUAAUGUAUGGGGACUGCCCGAUAGAGGGGGAUAACUACUGGAAACGGUGGCUAAUACCGCAUACUAUCGGAUAACCCAUAUGGGAUUAGCUAGUAGGUGGGGUAAAGGCUCACCUAGGCGACGAUCGCUAGCUGGUCUGAGAGGAUGAUCAGCCACACUGAGACGCGAACACUGCCCAGGCUCAUACGGAGGCAGCAGUGGGGAAUAUUGCACAAUGGGCGCAAGCCGGAUGCAGCCAUGCCGCGGGUAUGAAGAAGGCCUUAGGGUUGUAAAGUACUUUCAGUGGGGAGGCGUUACCCGCAGAAGAAGCACCGGCUAACUCCGUGCCAGCAGCCGCAGUAAUUC